UGGGGAAUAUUGGGCAAUGGAGGGAACUCUGACCCAGCCAUGCCGCGUGCAGGAUGAAGGCGUUAUGCGUUGUAAACUGCUUUUAUAUAGGAAGAAAUAGUCCUUGCGAGGAAAGUUGACGGUACUAUAUGAAUAAGCACCGGCUAACUCCGUGCCAGCAGCCGCGGUAAUACGGAGGGUGCAAGCGUUGUCCGGAUUUAUUGGGUUUAAAGGGUGCGUAGGCGGUUUAUUAAGUCAGUGGUGAAAGACGGUCGCUCAACGAUUGCAGUGCCAUUGAUACUGGUAGACUUGAGUAUGAUUGAGGUAGCUGGAAUGGAUAGUGUAGCGGUGAAAUGCAUAGAUAUUAUCCAGAACACCAAUUGCGUAGGCAAGUUACUAAGUCAUAACUGACGCUGAGGCACGAAAGUGUGGGUAUCAAACAGGAUUAGAUACCCUUGUAGUCCCUGAGCGGGCUGGCAAGGCGCAU
rnacentral:rRNA from 1 species